rnacentral:rRNA from 1 species
GACGAACGCUGGCGGCGUGCCUAAUACAUGCAAGUUGAGCGCUGAAGGUUGGUACUUGUACCAACUGGAUGAGCAGCGAACGGGUGAGUAACGCGUGGGGAAUCUGCCUUUGAGCGGGGGACAACAUUUGGAAACGAAUGCUAAUACCGCAUAAAAACUUUAAACACAAGUUUUAAGUUUGAAAGAUGCAAUUGCAUCACUCAAAGAUGAUCCCGCGUUGUAUUAGCUAGUUGGUGAGGUAAAGGCUCACCAAGGCGAUGAUACAUAGCCGACCUGAGAGGGUGAUCGGCCACAUUGGGACUGAGACACGGCCCAAACUCCUACGGGGGGCAGCAGUAGGGAAUCUUCGGCAAUGGACGAAAGUCUGACCGAGCAACGCCGCGUGAGUGAAGAAGGUUUUCGGAUCGUAAUACUCUGUUGGUAGAGAAGAACGUUGGUGAGAGUGGAAAGCUCAUCAAGUGACGGUAACUACCCAGAAAGGGACGGCUAACUACGUG